rnacentral:lncRNA from 1 species
ACACUAAAUACACGUCACACAGGUUACAGAGACGACACCUAAUACACGUCACACAGGUUACAGGAGACACUAAAUACACGUCACACAGGUUACAGAGAGACACCUAAUACACGUCACACAGGUUACAGAGAGACACCUAAAUACACGUCACACAGGUUACAGAGACACCUAAAUACACGUCACACAGGUUACAGAGACACCUAAAUACACGUCACACAGGUUAGAGAGAGACACCUAAAUACACGUCACACAGGUUACAGAGACACCUAAAUACACGUCACACAGGUUACAGAGACACCUAAAUACACGUCACACAGGUUACAGAGACCCUAAAUACACGUCACACAGUUACAGAGACACCUAAAUACACGUCACACAGGUUACAGAGAACCUAAAU